UACGUAGGGUGCGAGCGUUAAUCGGAAUUACUGGGCGUAAAGCGUGCGCAGGCGGUUUGCUAAGACAGGUGUGAAAUCCCCGGGCUUAACCUGGGAAUGGCGCUUGUUACUGGCAGGCUAGAGUGUGUCAGAGGGAGGUAGAAUUCCACGUGUAGCAGUGAAAUGCGUAGAGAUGUGGAGGAAUACCGAUGGCGAAGGCAGCCUCCUGGGAUAACACUGACGCUCAUGCACGAAAGCGUGGGGAGCAAACAGG
rnacentral:rRNA from 1 species